CCACAUCUCCUCAAAAUCUGGAUUUAUACUGAUUUAUACAACACCAGGAACCUGCAAUCCAACAAAAAAGAUACCAGCAAUGGACCGUAAAAAAAAGAAGAAGUAUUGACGUAUCAAAAUGUUUUUUUUACCUUUCGAAUUCUUCGCUUCAAGUCUCUCUCUAUCACAAGUAGCCACCAUGAAGCACUUAUGCUGUAUACAAACAAGAACAAAGUAUAUCAAUGAAAACAUAGAAAAGACUAAUGACCUCUCUAACGAUCCAAUGGAACCUAAUUAACCUCUCUAACAAUCAUUCAAAUAGACAGGACGCUCGCUAGUUUCUAAUUGUUUCCACACUAUGAAUAUACUACACUUGUCGCCUCAAAACGUGACGGAUGUUCCUUAUCUCUCUCUCCAGUCCAAACAUCAGAGGCGUUUGUGAAUUCAAAAAAAAAAGGCUUACAUUCGAUUCAUGAUGGCAUUGCUGCUGUCCUCAACGCCAGUGUUUCAGCUUCUCCUUCAACUGGAAACACAGGAAAGAGAGCCAGUGGUCAAAGAAUAUUUACAAAGUGUGAAGUUGGGUUUAAUUAGUUGAAAUAUCUAUGGAAACCUGAAUACUUAAACAGCUUCUCGAGUCCAUGUCUUUGCAUAUGUUAGCAACGAAGAGGGAUGGUGGUAUCAUUAUCUUGUCUUGCGGUUGUUACACCACACAUCUUACCAUUGAUCUGCAGUCCCAAUGACCAAGAGAUUCCAUCAAUAUAUACAAUUUAUAAAAGCUACACAAACUCUGCAUCAAAUACUAAACUGUAGACGAUUACCAUUGGGUAACUGUAACAGCUUGCACAACGCACACACACAAAAGCAUGGUGCUCUUCUUCCACAUCCAUCAGCUCUCACUCUCAAGCUCCUCCUGACCAUCUCCAAUCUCGCCGGCAAACUCACAAGAUCCUUCCUCAUCACAUGAUUGCACGGAAACAAACAAAUAUAUGCACAUCAUCAUCACAUGAGAUUGCAAACAAGCAAAAUAAAAAAAAAAACAUUGAAAACAAGAGGGUAAAAUUGUAUAUUUGCCAAGGAUUGAUAGGAAUAACAAAGCGAUCUCAUAAGUGUAAAAGUCAAAUAGAACCUAACUUCUCUAACGAUCAUUCAAAUAGACAGGAUGCUAGUUCCUAAUUGUUUCUACAUUAUGAAUAUACACAUAAGCUUCUUCCUUUUCAAUCUAAGAAAAUAUAGAAUAUUGCCAAGAACUGAUAGGAAUAACAAAAUGAUCUCAUAAGUGUUAAGUCAAAUGGAACCUAACCUCUCUAACAAUCAAGUAAAUGACAGGACGCUAGUUUCUAAUUGUUUCCACAUUAUGAAGAUACACAUAAGCUUCUUCCAUUUUCAAUCUAAGCAAAUAUAGAAUAUUGCCAAGAACUGAUAGAAAUAACAAAAUGAUCUCAUAAGUGUUUCCACAUUAUGAAGAUACACAUAAGCUUCUUCCAUUUUCAAUCUAAGCAAAUAUAUAAUAUAUGCCAAGAACUGAUAGAAAUAACAAAGUGUUCUCAUAAGUGUAAAUUCAAAUGGAACCUAACCUCUCUAACAAUCAUUCAAAUAGACAGGAUGUUAGUUUCUAAUUGUUUUCACAUUAUGAAUACAUAAAGCUUCUUCCAUUUUCAAUCAAAGUAAAUAUAGAAUAUUUGCCAAGAACUGAUAGAAAUAACAAAGUGAUCUCAUAAGUGUAAAAGUCAAAUGGAACAUAAGCUCUAACUAUCAAUCAAAUGAUGGGACGCUAGUUUCUAAUUGUUUCCACACUAUGAAUAUACACAUAAGCUUCUUCCUUUCUCAAUCCAAGUAAAUAUAGAAUCUCCCCAAAAAAAAAAAGAUUUGAAAAAAACAGAAAAAGAACGAAAUUAGGUACCUUGAGCAAUGGGGAUUCUCAUCUUUUCUUCCACCAUCUGUUAUCUCUUGAAUCUUCUUGGCAAACUUCUUCCUCUUUCACCUUAACUCUUUGCUGCAGAGAAACAAAACACCAACCAAACAGUCAGGACUCACUCAAUUUCUACAAUAAUCCGUAAAUUUUUCAAUAUUUUUGAUCAGAGAAACUCAUACCUCUCAGUUCUGAAUUUCAAUGAAGUGAUCUUAACCUGCUUCUUCUUUGAUUUUCUGCUUCCUUCCCACUCUCAAAUCACUGAAACACCAUCAGAUCAAACAAGUCAGAAGACUAUAAAACUAACAGAUAUUGAGUCACCAACGAGCUAAUCUAGUAUUGUUGCUGGCUGG
rnacentral:lncRNA from 1 species